rnacentral:rRNA from 1 species
AUGAGGCCAGAGUGCUGGGAGCGGCGAACGGCUGCGUAACACGUGGGUACCUACCCCGAACUCAGGGAUAACCUUCCGAAAGGAAGGCUAAUACCGGAUGGUCUCGAAAGAGUAAAGCUUUCGCGGUUCGGGAGGGGCCUGCGGCCUAUCAGGUAGUUGGUAAGGUAACGGCUUACCAAGCCUAUGACGGGUAGCUGGUUUGAGAGAACGACCAGCCAGAAUGGGACUGAGACACGGCCCAU